UGAGGAAUAUUGGUCAAUGGGCGCGAGCCUGAACCAGCCAAGUCGCGUGAGGGAUGACGGCCCUACGGGUUGUAAACCUCUUUUGUCGGGGAGCAAAUUCCGCCACGUGUGGCGGAGUCGAGAGUACCCGAAGAAAAAGCAUCGGCUAACUCCGUGCCAGCAGCCGCGGUAAUACGGAGGAUGCGAGCGUUAUCCGGAUUUAUUGGGUUUAAAGGGUGCGCAGGCGGAAAGUGCAAGUCAGCGGUCAAACGACGGGGCUCAACCCCGUCUCGCCGUUGCAAAUCUGUCAUUUCUUAGAGUGAGCGAGAAGUAUGCGGAAUGCGUGGUGUAGCGGUGAAAUGCAUAGAUAUCACGCAGAACUCCGAUUGCGAAGGCAGCAUACCGGCGCUCAACUGACGCUCAUGCACGAAAGCGUGGGUAUCGAACAGGAUUAGAUACC
rnacentral:rRNA from 1 species